AGCAGCCUGGCUGAGAGGAGCGUGGCUGUCUCCUCUCUCCGUCAUGGCGUGUGCUCGCCCACUAAUAUCGGUGUACUCCGAAAAGGGGGAGUCAUCUGGCAAAAAUGUCACUUUGCCUGCUGUAUUCAAGGCUCCUAUUCGACCAGAUAUUGUGAACUUUGUUCACACCAACUUGCGCAAAAACAACAGACAGCCCUACGCUGUCAGUGAAUUAGCAGGUCAUCAGACCAGUGCUGAGUCUUGGGGUACUGGCAGAGCUGUGGCUCGAAUUCCCAGAGUUCGAGGUGGUGGGACUCACCGCUCUGGCCAGGGUGCUUUUGGAAACAUGUGUCGUGGAGGCCGAAUGUUUGCACCAACCAAAACCUGGCGCCGUUGGCAUCGUAGAGUGAACACAACCCAAAAACGAUAUGCCAUCUGUUCUGCCUUGGCUGCUUCAGCCCUACCAGCACUGGUCAUGUCUAAAGGUCAUCGUAUUGAGGAAGUUCCUGAACUUCCUUUGGUAGUCGAAGAUAAAGUUGAAGGUUACAAGAAGACCAAGGAAGCUGUUUUGCUCCUUAAGAAACUUAAAGCCUGGAAUGAUAUCAAAAAGGUCCGUUUAAUGAGCACAUUUACAGUUUGGUACUCCUUGUUCACAGUUUGUCACUUUGAAUUUCAGAAGAUAAGGGCAGUAUAGCUAAGCCUUAAUGUGUGAGAGAACAUGAACCUCAGAGCCCGAUUACCUGGGUUUGAAUCCUAACUGCUGUUUAUGGCUCUGUAACCUUGGCAAGUUAUUGUGCCCAGUUUAAUCAUCUGUAAAAUGGAAUUAAAACUCUGAA
rnacentral:sRNA from 1 species